rnacentral:misc_RNA from 1 species
AACGCACCUUGCGCUCCUUGGUAUUCCGAGGAGCAUGCCUGUUUGAGUGUCAUUAAUAUAAUCAACCUUCUCUUGUUUUGAGAAUGGUUUGGACGUGGGGGUUUGCUGGCCUCUCUCAAAAGGUUCAGCUCCUCUGAAAUGCAUUAGCAGAACAACCUUUGCUCAUUGGUGUGAUAACAUCUACGCUUAUGAAUACAAGGGGGCAGUUCAGCUUUCUAACAGUCUUUGGACAAUUCAUCAUUAAUGUGACCUCAAAUCAGGUAGGACUACCCGCUGAACUUAA